UACGUAGGGAGCGAGCGUUGUCCGGAUUUAUUGGGCGUAAAGAGCUCGUAGGCGGUUUGGUAAGUCGGGUGUGAAAGCUCCGGGCUCAACUCGGAGAGGUCACUCGAUACUGCCAUGACUGGAGUCCGGUAGGGGGGUGUGGAAUUCCUGGUGUAGCGGUGAAAUGCGCAGAUAUCAGGAGGAACACCAGCGGCGAAGGCGGCGCUCUGGGCCGGAACUGACGCUGAGGAGCGAAAGCGUGGGGAGCAAACAGG
rnacentral:rRNA from 1 species